rnacentral:tRNA from 1 species
GGGGAUGUAGCUCAGUGGUAAAGCACUUGCCUAGUGUGCAAGAAGCCCUGGGUUUAAUCCCCAGCACCACA